rnacentral:rRNA from 1 species
AUUGAACGCUGGCGGCAUGCUUUACACAUGCAAGUCGAACGGCAGCGCGGGCUUCGGCCUGGCGGCGAGUGGCGAACGGGUGAGUAAUGCAUCGGAACGUGCCCAGUAGUGGGGGAUAGCCCGGCGAAAGCCGGAUUAAUACCGCAUACGACCUGAGGGUGAAAGCGGGGGACCGAAAGGCCUCGCGCUAUUGGAGCGGCCGAUGUCGGAUUAGCUAGUUGGUGGGGUAAAGGCUUACCAAGGCGACGAUCCGUAGCUGGUCUGAGAGGACGACCAGCCACACUGGGACUGAGACACGGCCCAGACUCCUACGGGAGGCAGCAGUGGGGAAUUUUGGACAAUGGGGGCAACCCUGAUCCAGCCAUGCCGCGUGCGGGAAGAAAGCCUUCGGGUUGUAAACCGCUUUUGUUCGGGAAGAAAUCCUCUGGGCUAAUACCCCGGGGGGAUGACGGUACCGGAAGAAUAAGCACCGGCUAACUACGUG